GUUAUAUAGCUUCUUUUACAUCUCACACCCCUCACGUGCAUACUUAACUCCAUCGUUAGCUUCUACUAACCUAAUUUUCUUCUUCAUUUUCCUUCUAAUCCUAUAACUAACUAAUUAAAUAAAAUAACUAGUCUUACAUUGUUUAGCAAAAAAAAAAAACUAGUCUUACAUUUAGGUACGCCUCGUUUUUCGUUUUCCAAACAACGCAAGAUUCAUUUGUUUUGCUUUCUUUUUUUCUGUCAUUAAGUAUAUAUUGCUUGUG
rnacentral:lncRNA from 1 species